GGGCAAAAUACUGCCACUGGAAUUAGAAGCAGUAGCUACGGCUGCGUCAGUCUCCAAGAGCUGUCCAUGUGCAAGAUGAGAUAAAGGGGGAAACAGUACCCCAGAGUUGCACUGAGACAGCAAGCUGCCAUCCAGACCACAGUGCUUUAUCUGAAUAGAACACACUGGAGAGGGUCAUCUUGCAUCAGACUCACAGAAAUGCCCAGAGAUGCAUGUGUAGAAUCAAUGAAGAAAUGGAGACACCCCUAGCACAAAUACCAACGUCCACAAGCAAAUGUCUAUACCCUCCUUUCAAGCAUAUCUCCAUCCUUCUCCUUCCCAUGUGGGCCUUCAGUGAACUGCUCACAUCAGCUCAGCACAUUUCUUCACUACUUGUGUUUGUAGUCGCUGUUCAUCCAUGGCAAAUAAGCUCCAGAGACACAAUCCUAAUGGAUGGGCAGACCAACAAGAGGACAUGUGACAUCUACAUGAAGAACUUCUUGCACCAUGGGAUGGUAAAGAACAGGCUAUGUUUUGAAAGCAGACCUCUGACACAGGGUCUUGCGUUUCGUCUUGCUGUCACACUGUGUUACCACACCACAUCACACUGUGUGACAUAACCGACAAACCCUGUUGUAACCUGUAUGUGUCAUGGGAAGGCAGCCUGCUGCCUGAUUCUUGUAAGAGUGCUUCAGGAAAAAGGCAAUCCUACUAAUUCCCCACAGCCAGAACUGUAGCAGGAGCAAAGCUGAACAGAGCUGCUUGCUCUCUUCCUACCUAUCUAUAAUCAGCUUCAGGCAGUCAGCACUUGUCACCCUGAACAUUUCAGAAAUUCUAGAGUACAUGGUGAUAUAAAGCCACUGAAAUGGAGUAAUGUCCCAUGAAGAAAGAGGCUGUCUGUUGAAACCUACUUUUUCACAUUCAAGUAGGAGGUGGUGUGAUAGGGCACACCACAGCAGGGUCCUGACAGCAUACGUCAGUGAGGACAAAUGAACUUUUCAGUGCUGGUCCAAGGUAUUUCAGUUUUGUAUCUAGCCCUCUCUGUGCCCUGCUGUCUUCAUGGUGGUGAUACCAGUUUGGAAGUGAUACCAAGGAACUACUCAGAAUAUGAGAACUUCAACUUUUUCUUUUGUUGCGUUCCCCAGGAAUUACCGCUCGCAACAAUUUGUGGAUGUCCCCCUCAGAUUAUUUUAACUAAGAGCUUUCCUGAUUUAUUUUGUCUCCAGGGGAUUUCUAACUUAUGUGAACUAUGACUGGUGAUAAUGAAAUAUAUUGUCAUGCCACAAAUUCAAUACAUUAAAAUAA
ensembl:lncRNA